rnacentral:rRNA from 1 species
UACGUAGGGAGCCAGCGUUGUCCGGAUUUACUGGGCGUAAAGAGCGCGUAGGCGGUUUUGUUAGCGGAGGGUGAAAUCUCGGGGCUUAACUCCGAGGCUGCUUUCCGAACUGCAAGACUAGAGUACGGGAGAGGAUAGUGGAAUUCCUGGUGUAGCGGUGGAAUGCGUAAAUAUCAGGAGGAACACCCGUGGCGAAGGCUGCUAUCUGGAACGUAACUGACGCUGAGGCGCGAAAGCUAGGGGAGCGAACGGGAUUAGAUACCCCGGUAGUCCUAGCCGUAAACGAUGGAUACUAGGUGUUGGAGGCAUCGACCCCUUCAGUGCUGUUCUGCUAACGCGUUAAGUAUCCCGCCUGGGGAGUACGGCCGCAAGGUUGAA